rnacentral:tRNA from 1 species
GGGCCGCUAGCUCAAUUGGUAGAGCAGCGGACUCUUAAUCCGUUGGUUCUAGGUUCGAGUCCUAGGCGGCCCACCA